rnacentral:misc_RNA from 1 species
GAUGAAGAACGUAGCGAAAUGCGAUAAGUAAUGUGGAUUGCAGAAUUCCGUGAAUCAUCGAAUCUUUGAACGCACAUUGCGCCCCCUGGCAUUCCGGGGGGCAUGCCUGUCCGAGCGUCAUUUCUGCCCUCCAGCCCGGCUGGGUGUUGGGCGCUGUCCCCCCGGGGACACGCCCCAAAGGCAGUGGCGGCGCCGCGUCGGGUCCUCGAGCGUAUGGGGCUUUGUCACCCGCUCGGGACGGACUCGUCGGCGCUGGUCUUCCUCCAGGCGACCCUUCGGGGCUCGUCUUCCUUCGGUUGACCUCGGAUCAGGUAGGGUUACCCGCUGAACUUAAGCAUAUCAAUAAGCGGAGGA